rnacentral:rRNA from 1 species
UUCGGCGUGCUUAACACAUGCAAGUCGAACGGAAAGGCCCUGCUUUUGUGGGGUGCUCGAGUGGCGAACGGGUGAGUAACACGUGAGUAACCUGCCCUUGACUUUGGAAUAACUUCAGGAAACUGGGGCUAAUACCGGAUAGGAGCUCCUGCUGCAUGGUGGGGGUUGGAAAGUUUCGGCGGUUGGGGAUGGACUCGCGGCUUAUCAGCUUGUUGGUGGGGUAGUGGCUUACCAAGGCUUUGACGGGUAGCCGGCCUGAGAGGGUGACCGGCCACAUUGGGACUGAGAUACGGCCCAGACUCCUACGGGAGGCAGCAGUGGGGAAUAUUGCACAAUGGGCGGAAGCCUGAUGCAGCAACGCCGCGUGCGGGAUGACGGCCUUCGGGUUGUAAACCGCUUUCGCCUGUGACGAAGCGUGAGUGACGGUAAUGGGUAAAGAAGCACCGGCUAACUACGUGCCAGCAGCCGCGGUGAUACGUAGGGUGCGAGCGUUGUCCGGAUUUAUUGGGCGUAAAGGGCUCGUAGGUGGUUGAUCGCGUCGGAAGUGUAAUCUUGGGGCUUAACCCUGAGCGUGCUUUCGAUACGGGUUGACUUGAGGAAGGUAGGGGAGAAUGGAAUUCCUGGUGGAGCGGUGGAAUGCGCAGAUAUCAGGAGGAACACCAGUGGCGAAGGCGGUUCUCUGGGCCUUUCCUGACGCUGAGGAGCGAAAGCGUGGGGAGCGAACAGGCUUAGAUACCCUGGUAGUCCACGCUGUAAACGGUGGGUACUAGGUGUGGGGUCCAUUCCACGGGUUCCGUGCCGUAGCUAACGCUUUAAGUACCCCGCCUGGGGAGUACGGCCGCAAGGCUAAAACUCAAAGGAAUUGACGGGGCCCCGCACAAGCGGCGGAGCAUGCGGAUUAAUUCGAUGCAACGCGUAGAACCUUACCUGGGUUUGACAUGGAUCGGGAGUGCUCAGAGAUGGGUGUGCCUCUUUUGGGGUCGGUUCACAGGUGGUGCAUGGCUGUCGUCAGCUCGUGUCGUGAGAUGUUGGGUUAAGUCCCGCAACGAGCGCAACCCUUGUUCACUGUUGCCAGCACGUUAUGGUGGGGACUCAGUGGAGACCGCCGGGGUCAACUCGGAGGAAGGUGGGGAUGACGUCAAGUCAUCAUGCCCCUUAUGUCCAGGGCUUCACGCAUGCUACAAUGGCUGGUACAGAGAGUGGCGAGCCUGUGAGGGUGAGCGAAUCUCGGAAAGCCGGUCUCAGUUCGGAUUGGGGUCUGCAACUCGACCUCAUGAAGUCGGAGUCGCUAGUAAUCGCAGAUCAGCAACGCUGCGGUGAAUACGUUCCCGGGGCUUGUACACACCGCCCGUCAAGUCAUGAAAGUUGGUAACACCCGAAGCCGGUGGCCUAACCGUUGUGGGGGAGCCGUCGAAGGUGGGACUGGUGAUUAGG